rnacentral:rRNA from 1 species
UACAGAGGUGGCAAGCGUUGUUCAGAAUUACUGGGCGUAAAGGGCGCGUAGGCGGCCAUCUAAGUCAGACGUGAAAUCCCCGGCUUAACCUGGGAACUGCGUCUGAUACUGGACGGCUUGAGUAUGGGAGAGGGAUGUAGAAUUCCAGGUGUAGCGGUGAAAUGCGUAGAUAUCUGGAGGAAUACCGGUGGCGAAGGCGGCAUCCUGGACCAUUACUGACGCUGAGGCGCGAAAGCUAG